UCAGAGCAAGACUUGCGAGACUGGUUUUCUCUUUGGUCUUCCAGAUUUUUAUUGGAAUUCUGAGAUCAUUGUGAAAACUAAUCUCGCUGACAUUACGCCAG
rnacentral:pre_miRNA from 1 species